AGUGAACGCUGGCGGUAGGCCUAACACAUGCAAGUCGAACGGCAGCACAGUAAGAGCUUGCUCUUACGGGUGGCGAGUGGCGGACGGGUGAGGAAUACAUCGGAAUCUACUUUUUCGUGGGGGAUAACGUAGGGAAACUUACGCUAAUACCGCAUACGACCUACUGGUGAAAGCAGGGGAUCUUCGGACCUUGCGCGAUUGAAUGAGCCGAUGUCGGAUUAGCUAGUUGGCGGGGUAAAGGCCCACCAAGGCGACGAUCCGUAGCUGGUCUGAGAGGAUGAUCAGCCACACUGGAACUGAGACACGGUCCAGACUCCUACGGGAGGCAGCAGUGGGGAAUAUUGGACAAUGGGCGCAAGCCUGAUCCAGCCAUACCGCGUGGGUGAAGAAGGCCUUCGGGUUGUAAAGCCCUUUUGUUGGGAAAGAAAAGCAGCAGGUUAAUACCCCGCUGUUCUGACGGUACCCAAAGAAUAAGCACCGGCUAACUUCGUG
rnacentral:rRNA from 1 species